rnacentral:rRNA from 1 species
AGAGUUUGAUCCUGGCUCAGGACGAACGCUGGCGGCGUGCCUAAUACAUGCAAGUCGAGCGAAUCUGAGGGAGCUUGCUCCCGAAGAUUAGCGGCGGACGGGUGAGUAACACGUGGGUAACCUGCCUGUAAGAUUGGGAUAACUCCGGGAAACCGGAGCUAAUACCGGAUAACAAUUUGAACCGCAUGGUUCAAAUUUGAAAGAUGGCUUCUUGCUAUCACUUACAGAUGGACCCGCGGCGCAUUAGCUAGUUGGUGAGGUAACGGCUCACCAAGGCGACGAUGCGUAGCCGACCUGAGAGGGUGAUCGGCCACACUGGGACUGAGACACGGCCCAGACUCCUACGGGAGGCAGCAGUAGGGAAUCUUCCGCAAUGGACGAAAGUCUGACGGAGCAACGCCGCGUGAACGAUGAAGGCCUUCGGGUCGUAAAGUUCUGUUGUUAGGGAAGAACAAGUACCAGAGUAACUGCUGGUACCUUGACGGUACCUAACCAGAAAGCCACGGCUAACUACGUGCCAGCAGCCGCGGUAAUACGUAGGUGGCAAGCGUUGUCCGGAAUUAUUGGGCGUAAAGCGCGCGCAGGCGGUUUCUUAAGUCUGAUGUGAAAGCCCACGGCUCAACCGUGGAGGGUCAUUGGAAACUGGGAAACUUGAGUGCAGUAGACGAGAGUGGAAUUCCACGUGUAGCGUGGAAAUGCAUAGAGAUGU